UGGGGAAUUUUGGACGAUGGGCGAAAGCCUGAUCCAGCAAUGCCGCGUGUGUGAAGAAGGCCUUCGGGUUGUAAAGCACUUUUGUCCGGAAAGAAAUCCUUGGCUCUAAUACAGUCGGGGGAUGACGGUACCGGAAGAAUAAGCACCGGCUAACUACGUGCCAGCAGCCGCGGUAAUACGUAGGGUGCAAGCGUUAAUCGGAAUUACUGGGCGUAAAGCGUGCGCAGGCGGUUUGCUAAGACCGAUGUGAAAUCCCCGGGCUCAACCUGGGAACUGCAUUGGUGACUGGCAGGCUAGAGUAUGGCAGAGGGGGGUAGAAUUCCACGUGUAGCAGUGAAAUGCGUAGAGAUGUGGAGGAAUACCGAUGGCGAAGGCAGCCCCCUGGGCCAAUACUGACGCUCAUGCACGAAAGCGUGGGGAGCAAACAGGAUUAGAUACCCUGGUAGUCCACGCCCUAAACGAUGUCAACUAGUUGUUGGGGAUUCAUUUCCUUAGUAACGUAGCUAACGCGUGAAGUUGACCGCCUGGGGAGUACGGUCGCAAGAUUAAAACUUAAAUGAAUUGACGGGGUCAUAGCUGUUUCCU
rnacentral:rRNA from 1 species